UGAGGAAUAUUGGUCAAUGGGCGCAAGCCUGAACCAGCCAUCCCGCGUGCAGGAAGACGGCGCUAUGCGUUGUAAACUGCUUUUCCAGGGAGAGAAACUUGCGCACGUGUUGCGCAAUUGACGGUACCCUGGGAAUAAGCAUCGGCUAACUCCGUGCCAGCAGCCGCGGUAAUACGGAGGAUGCGAGCGUUAUCCGGAUUCAUUGGGUUUAAAGGGCGCGUAGGCGGACUAUUAAGUCAGUGGUGAAAUCCUGCAGCUUAACUGCAGAACUGCCAUUGAUACUGAUAGCCUUAAGUUUGGUUAAGGUAGGCGGAAUGUGUAAUGUAGCGGUGAAAUGCUUAGAUAUUACACAGAACACCAAUUGCGUAGGCAGCUUACUGAGCCGACACUGACGCUGAGGCACGAGAGCGUGGGGAUCGAACAG
rnacentral:rRNA from 1 species